AAAGUAAGUCUUUUUUCCCCCCUUUCCCCCCGGGAUAGGAAAGUAAGUCUUUAUUUGCUUGAUACAUUCUGAUUAUGUAAGACUUUACUACCUUAUCAUCUUGAUGUGUAAUCUCUGGAACCAACUAUUUCCUCAUUUUUGAAAGUUAUUUCAAUGCUAUUCUGCUCCUUGUUAAUAUCUGUCAUUUCAAUGCUAUUCUGCUCCUUGUUAAUACCUGAAUGCUAUGCCUGAAUCGCUAUACCUGAAUCCUAUUAUAUACAUGUUACGAUUCCCAAUAUGCUUUGAGGUAAGUAGUCAUUAAUCAUCAAACUGCGACUUUUUAUGUUUUGUCAAACAAUCUGGUUUACUGCAUGGCUAUGGCUUUUUAACCUCUUUUUUUUGUUAAAUAACUAGUCAUUGUCAUCUGAUUUACAAACUGUCAUUAGCUUCCGCGGCUGGUUUUAUAAUGUUACAUACUUUUGAGAUUCUUUGUUACAAAUCACUAUUUAGCUAUUGUGGAGCAAGUUUCAAAAUGUUUCUGGGUUAUUCUUAUCAUUUAUUUUGGAAAUGUCAUCCUACUUAUCUCAUCUUUACAGUGGUGGCAAUUUCUUAGUGUCCUAUUUUGCUAUGGUUUGGGGUCAUCCAUGGUCGUCCUGUUUCUUUGAAUCAACUUCUCUUGUGUGUUUGUGUAGAUCA
rnacentral:lncRNA from 1 species